UGAGCUUCACACAUCUUUAACUUCUGUACUGUGGGGCCCACUUCCACCAGCAAGAAAGAAGGAUCAGGGAUGGGGGUGGCUGGUAAAUGGACCACCAAAAGGACACGGCCAAUAGCCCAUGGCCUUUAUGGGAAUGAAGAGCUGAGACUCCCUCUAGUUUAGAAGGAGUUUCCUAAAUAAAUGCAGGCUGGGAAUUAGGAUCCUAGGGAAGACAUGCAAUUCUAAAUCCCUAGGCAUCCAGACCUAGUUAUGCCUCUAAAACAGGAGCUUCUUUCCAGCCACUUAAGAAAAAAAAAGUCAUUUCAGCACCUUAACACCAUUAGCAGUUAAUUAACCAUGAAUGUAGCACGAACUUUACUUCAUAAAAUAUCUCUCCAUCCCGAUACACUUCAUGAUUUUAAUAACCAAAGUUCCAGAGCUAGUAAGAGAAUCCAAAAUAAGAACAAACAUUUUUAAUCGGUAAAAUUAUUUAGAGCUACUGAGGAUUUAGUGUCAACAGAACCUGCGUGGAGUGUGAGGGCUAGUGAAUGUAUGUUUUUGAGGCAGCACUUAAAGUUAAUCUUUAAGAUGUUAAAGCCAGAAGCUGCUUCAGUUAGUCAGCAUACAUUCUCUAAGAGGAUUAAUAUGCCGGCAAGAGGUAUGAGACUGCACAGAAAAUAGAACAGCUAAUCCUGGAGAUGAACCUGAUAAAGAGAACCCACAGUCAGUACUUACAGCACUGAGGAGCCCUGUCCAGGUGGAGGGCGAGCAUGAAUGCCGGGAAUCUUUGAAGAAAGGAGGAAUAAGGGAUAAGGAAGUAAUGCAACUCAGAAAGCCUGUACUAGGCCAGGUGUGGUGGCUCAUGCCUGUAAUCCCAGCACUUGGGGAGGCCAAGGUGGGUGGAUCACUUGAGGUCACGAAUUUAAGACCAGCCUGGCCAACGUGAAGAAACAGCAUCUCUGCUAAAAAGACAAAAAUUAGCCAGGCAUGGGCAUGUAAUCCCAGCUACUCAGGAAGCUGAGACACAAGAAUUGCUUGAA
rnacentral:lncRNA from 1 species